rnacentral:rRNA from 1 species
UACGGAGGGGGCUAGCGUUGUUCGGAAUUACUGGGCGUAAAGCGCGCGUAGGCGGCUUUGCAAGUCAGAGGUGAAAGCCUGGAGCUCAACUCCAGAACUGCCUUUGAAACUGCAUCGCUAGAAUCAUGGAGAGGUUAGUGGAAUUCCGAGUGUAGAGGUGAAAUUCGUAGAUAUUCUGAAGAACACCAGUGGCGAAGGCGACUAACUGGACAUAUAUUGACGCUGAGGUGCGAAAGCGUGGGGAGCAAACAGG